AGAGAGAGAGAGAGAGAGAGCGAGUUUGAGACGCAAGAGAGCUUCUUGAAACUGCCAAAAAUAAGUGAAGGUUGAGUUUAUAUAGGGAGAACAGACCAAAGCAUAUGAGACUAUUGCAAAGCUAAACAAAAGAUGAUUAUUAUUAUUGAAUCUUCUGCUAAUGCCAUUGAUGGGUAUUAAUGUUGAUUCUCCCUUCUCUUUUUGGCUGUUU
rnacentral:misc_RNA from 1 species